rnacentral:rRNA from 1 species
CCUACGGGAGGCAGCAGUGGGGAAUUUUCGGCAAUGGGCGUAAGCCUGAACGAGCAACGCCGCGUAGAGGAUGACAGCCUUCGGGUUGUAAACUCCUUUUUCGGGGGACGAUGAUGACGGUACCCUCGGAGGAAGCACCGGCUAACUCUGUGCCAGCAGCCGCGGUAAU